rnacentral:rRNA from 1 species
UACGGAGGGUGCAAGCGUUGCUCGGAUUUAUUGGGCGUAAAGGGUAGGUAGGUGGUCUUAUUUGUCUAGGGUGAAAUCUCCGAGCUUAACUUGGAAACUGCCAUUGAUACUAUCAGUCUUGAAUACCGUGGAGGUCAGCGGAAUAUGUCAUGUAGCGGUGAAAUGCUUAGAUAUGACAUAGAACACCAAUUGCGAAGGCAGCUGACUACGCGAAUAUUGACACUGAUGCACGAAAGCGUGGGGAUCAAACAGG